rnacentral:snRNA from 1 species
AUACUUACCUUGACGGGGUCAAUGGGCGAUCAUGAAGGCCCAUGGCCUAGGUUGGUGACCUCCAUUGCACUUUGGAGGGGUGCUUGCCUAAGGUCAAUCCAAGUGGUCGAGCCUACGUAAUAAUUUGUGGCAGCGGGGCCUGCAUUUCCGCGGCCCCUAC